rnacentral:rRNA from 1 species
GCUCGGCAGCUCUUUUGGCCUCCACCCAUUGUGAACAUACCUACGUUUCCCUCGGCGGGCUCAGCGCGAGGCGGUCUUCCGCCCUCGCGUCCGCCGGGGGCACCCAAACUCGAAUUUAUAUCGUGUAUCUCUGAGGGGCGAAAGCCCGUAAAACAAAUGAAUCAAAACUUUCAACAACGGAUCUCUUGGCUCUGGCAUCGAUGAAGAACGCAGCGAAAUGCGAUAAGUAAUGUGAAUUGCAGAAUUCAGUGAAUCAUCGAAUCUUUGAACGCACAUUGCGCCCGCCGGCACUCCGGCGGGCAUGCCUGUCCGAGCGUCAUUUCAACCCUCAGGCCCUCCCUUUCGGGGGAACGCCUGGUGUUGGAUUCCUUUGAUUUACCGGCUUUCCCCCCUCAAAGAUACACGAUAUAAAUUCGAGUUUGGGUGCCCCCGGCGGACGCGAGGGCGGAAGACCGCCUCGCGCUGAGCCCGCCGAGGGAAACGUAGGUAUGUUCACAAUGGGUUGGAGUGCCAAAAGGCUCUCUGGUAAUGAUCCCUCCGCAGGUUCACACUACGGAAUA